UAGUCCACGCUGUAAACGAUGAGUGCUAGGUGUCGGCAAGAGAUUGUCGGUGCCGCAGUUAACGCAUUAAGCACUCCGCCUGGGGAGUACGAUCGCAAGAUUGAAACUCAAAGGAAUUGACGGGGACCCGCACAAGCAGCGGAGCAUGUGGUUUAAUUCGAAGCAACGCGAAGAACCUUACCAAGACUUGACAUCCUCUUGACAGGUGUAGAAGUACACCCUCUCUUCGGAGCAAGAGUGACAGGUGGUGCAUGGUUGUCGUCAGCUCGUGUCGUGGGAUGUUGGGUUAAGUCCCGCAACGAGCGCAACCCUUAUCAUUAGUUGCCAUCAUUAAGUUGGGAACUCUAAUGAGACUGCCGGUGAUAAACCGGAGGAAGGUGGGGGAUGACGUCAAAUCAUCAUGCCCCUUAUGUCUUGGGGCUACACACGUGCUACAAUGGUCGGUACAACGGGGAAGCUAAGGGAGUGAUCUGGGAG
rnacentral:rRNA from 1 species